MUACGUGCCAGCAGCCGCGGUAAUACGGAGGAUGCGAGCGUUAUCCGGAUUUAUUGGGUUUAAAGGGUGCGUAGGCGGCCUGUUAAGUCAGCGGUGAAAUCUAGGAGCUUAACUCSUAAAUWGCCAUUGAAACUGGCGGGCUUGAGUGUAGAUGAGGUAGGCGGAAUGCGUGGUGUAGCGGUGGAAUGCAUAGAUAUCACGCAGAACUCCAAUUGCGAAGGCAGCUUACUAAGGUACAACUGACGCUGAAGCACGAAAGCGUGGGGAUCAAACAGGAUUAGAUACCCUGGUAGUCCACGCAGUAAACGAUGAAUACUAGAUUUUUGCGAUAUAGUGUAAGAGUCUAAGCGAAAGCGAUAAGUAUUCCACCUGGGGAGUACGCCGGCAACGGUGAAACUCAAAGGAAUUGACGGGGGCCCGCACAAGCGGAGGAACAUGUGGUUUAAUUCGAUGAUACGCGAGGAACCUUACCCGGGAUUGAA
rnacentral:rRNA from 1 species